rnacentral:rRNA from 1 species
CCUGGUUUAACCCAGAAGUGACGGGCGAUUUGUGCAUAUAAAAUUUUAUUUCCUUAACUAAUUUUGUUUUUAUCUAAUUAAUAAUUUUAGGUCCUAUGUAUUUCUUCUAAUGAUUCAUUUAAAAACUGUUAUGGAAAUGUGUUUCGCUUUACCCCUUCAUAUUAUUUUUGUCUUGAUUUGUGCUUUUAUUAAUUUAAUAUUUAGGUGAGUCCUGCGGGACUUAUCUCCAAACAAUGAUAUAAAAAAUUAAAAUAAAGGUCGAGUUAAUCGUGGGUUGUCUAUUAAAAAGUAAAACCCCCUAGUAAAUUUCAUACCGCCAUUCCAUUUAGAUUUUUCUUAAAUAGAUACUAUCCUUUUUAAAAUAAAA